rnacentral:tRNA from 2 species
GCCCCGGUAGCAUAAACGGUAAAUGCACCUAUCUUAUAAGUAGGCGAUAGUCGGAUCGUUACCGACGCGGGGUAC